rnacentral:rRNA from 1 species
CCUACGGGAAGCAGCAGUGGGGAAUUUUGGACAAUGGGGGAAACCCUGAUCCAGCCAUUCCGCGUGAGUGAAGAAGGCCUUCGGGUUGUAAAGCUCUUUCGGCAGGAACGAAACGGCGGACUCUAACAUAGUCUGUCAAUGACGGUACCUGAAGAAGAAGCACCGGCUAACUACGUGCCAGCAGCCGCGGUAAUACGUAGGGUGCGAGCGUUAAUCGGAAUUACUGGGCGUAAAGCGUGCGCAGGCGGCUUUGUAAGACGGAUGAGAAAUCCCUGGGCUUAACCGGGGAACUGCGUUCGGGACUGCAAAGCUGGAGUGCGGCAGAGGGGGGUGGAAUUCCUGGUGUAGCAGUAAAAUGCGUAGAGAUCAGGAGGAACACCGAUGGCGAGGGCAGCCCCCGGGGUUGACACUGACGCUCAUGCACGAAAGCGUGGGGAGCAAACAGGAUUAGAUACCCUGGUAGU